rnacentral:rRNA from 1 species
UUGAGCCUUGAUGUGUAGGAUAGGUGGGAGGCUUUGAAGUGUGGACGCCAGUCUGCAUGGAGCCGACCUUGAAAUACCACCCUUUAAUGUUUGAUGUUCUAACGUUGGCCCGUUAUCCGGGUUGCGGACAGUGUCUGGUGGGUAGUUUGACUGGGGCGGUCUCCUCCUAAAGAGUAACGGAGGAGCACGAAGGUUGGCUAAUCCUGGUCGGACAUCAGGAGGUUAGUGC